UCGAACGAACUUCCGUUAAUUGAUUAUGAGGUGCUUGCACUGAAUGAGAUUUUAACACGAAGUGAGUGGCGGACGGGUGAGUAACACGUGGGUAACCUGCCCAGAAGCAGGGGAUAACACCUGGAAACAGAUGCUAAUACCGUAUAACAGAGAAAACCGCCUGGUUUUCUUUUAAAAGAUGGCUCUGCUAUCACUUCUGGAUGGACCCGCGGCGCAUUAGCUAGUUGGUGAGGUAACGGCUCACCAAGGCGAUGAUGCGUAGCCGACCUGAGAGGGUAAUCGGCCACAUUGGGACUGAGACACGGCCCAGACUCCUACGGGAGGCAGCAGUAGGGAAUCUUCCACAAUGGACGCAAGUCUGAUGGAGCAACGCCGCGUGAGUGAAGAAGGGUUUCGGCUCGUAAAGCUCUGUUGUUAAAGAAGAACGUGGGUGAGAGUAACUGUUCACCCAGUGACGGUAUUUAACCAGAAAGCCACGGCUAACUACGUGCCAGCAGCCGCGGUAAUACGUAGGUGGCAAGCGUUAUCCGGAUUUAUUGGGCGUAAAGCGA
rnacentral:rRNA from 1 species